rnacentral:rRNA from 1 species
GUGGGCAAUCUGCCCUUCACUCUGGGACAAGCCCUGGAAACGGGGUCUAAUACCGGAUAACACUCUGUCCCGCAUGGGACGGGGUUAAAAGCUCCGGCGGUGAAGGAUGAGCCCGCGGCCUAUCAGCUUGUUGGUGGGGUAAUGGCCUACCAAGGCGACGACGGGUAGCCGGCCUGAGAGGGCGACCGGCCACACUGGGACUGAGACACGGCCCAGACUCCUACGGGAGGCAGCAGUGGGGAAUAUUGCACAAUGGGCG